rnacentral:rRNA from 1 species
CCUACGGGAGGCAGCAGUGGGGAAUAUUGCACAAUGGGCGAAAGCCUGAUGCAGCAACGCCGCGUGAGCGAUGAAGGCCUUCGGGUCGUAAAGCUCUGUCCUCAAGGAAGAUAAUGACGGUACUGGAGGAGGAAGCCCCGGCUAACUACGCGCCAGCAGCCGCGGUAAUACGGAGGAUGCGAGCGUUAUCUGGAUUUAUUGGGUGAAAAGGGUGCGUAGGCGGAUGUUUAAGUCAGCGGUAAAAUGUCCGGGCUCAACCCGGGCCGGCCGUUGAAACUGGGGAUCUUGAGUGGGCGAGAAGUAUGCGGAAUGCGUGGUGUAGCGGUGAAAUGCAUAGAUAUCACGCAGAACUCCGAUUGCGAAGGCAGCAUACCGGCGCCCGACUGACGCUGAGGCACGAAAGCGUGGGGAUCGAACAGGAUUAGAUACCCGAGUAGUC